CAAAUAAUUUGAAGAAAUGUCAUUAGUAUUGUUGUAUAACAUUUCGUUAGGCUAUAGAUUAUAUAAACAUAAUAAUCGAAGCUGACUGGUAAAUUUUUUGAACGAUAUUAAAUCGAUUACGCAACAGGAGUUCACAUAACAAACACUAGGAGGCUGUUAUAACCUGCAAACAUUCUUUAAUAAGGAUAGCCUUUCGUAAUUUGAUGAGCAUAAACUUGAAUUAUCUUGGAUGCAUAUGCUACCUAAAUUUGAUAAUUUGUAUAAUAUUAAGACAUAUAAUUAGUAUCUUCAUGGCAAGAACAAAAACUUUCAUUAUAGUUUUCUAUUGAUCUUUAUAUUGCUUACUUUAUUUAAUAUAAGUUGCAUAUUAAUUUAGUUUUUUAUUGACAUUUAUGUACUAUUUACCCUUAAGAGAUAAGAUCUGUCAAGUGCAAUGUCUUUUGACAUAAAGUAUACCGCAUAUAUUCAUUCAUUCAUUCAUCCAUUUUUUUCUAACAAUACUAUACGCAUGUUUUAUGUUUAUAUUAUGUUAAUGUUAUAGUUUAAAUAAAUAUUUAGUUUUGAUAAUCGUUAAUGAAAUUUUUUUUUGCAUUUGUCAUAAGGACACAACUGAUUAAAAGAAAAAUAACAAAAAUCCCGAACUCCGAGGAAAAUUCAAAACGAAAAGUUCCUAAUCAAAAUGGUAAAAUAAGAAGCUCAAACACAUCAAACGGAUGGAUAACAACUGUCCUAUUCCGGACUUGGUACAUUCGUUUUCUGACGAACAGACAUGUUAGGUAAAAAGGUCAAAAACAGGGAUUUAGUAGUUGAAAUUUUGUUAUAAUAUUUAUCACUAUGAAAACAAUAAAUAUGUCAACAAAGAAAAACAAAUAAAACAUAGACAAAGAAUAUCAGCUAAACAACAGAUAAGAAUACUAAAAUGUACCAUGACACAAUAACACAAUGAUGGAAUAUAGUCUAAGUACGGAACCAUGUCCAAUGCAUAUUAAAAAAAAAUAGACUAAACAGUAAAAGUAAUAAUUACAAGAACAAAUAAAUCAACACUCUAUCAAGUUAGUACGAUGGUAAUUAUAUUCUACUUUGUUAGAAAAAGACACAACGUGCAAUGCCAUAACCCUGGUUCAUCAACUUUUUGCUCAGACACUGGUGUCGUUUUAUAAAGUCUUAGUAGCAGCUGGAAGCUCUUGAAUACCAAACGAUCAUACCAAAAUAAUACCAUACGAAACAAGAAGAGUGCGACAAGGAGAGGCGCACAGUUCGUUCCAAGAAUGCCUUCAAUUUGUUGCAAAAGUCUGCUUAGAAUUCAACAAAUACGUUGUGACUAAGAAACUCCAUCAUACUGAUAACUUUUCCCUCUGUGUCGCAUGUCGAUGCCCUUAAACUGUGUCGCAUGUCAAUGUUCUUCAACUUCGUACUUGUUAGGCUUUUCUUUUUGUUUUUUUGUUUUUGUUUUUUUUUUUUAAAUUUUAAACAUUUUUUUAUUAAUUAUCACCUGUUACAUAAACACUAAGCUGUCCUGUUAGGCUUUCUUACUUUUUUUAUCUGCACGUCUGACAUAUUUAAAUUAUAUGCCUGAUACCUUCGCUAACUAUUAGCAUGUCAAAAUUUACUACUAGUAUUGUAUUGUUUAUUUGUGUAUUUCUCUGUCCUGAAUGUUUUUGCAUUUAUUUGUACUGCAGUCCUUUCAUAUAAUGUUGUCAUUUUAGUGUUAUAUUUAACUUUGCCGUAAGAGUGCGAGGUUUGGCUAGCCACAAAACCAGGUUAAACCCACUUUUUUUCUUAAAUGUCCUGUUCCAAGUCAGGAAAAUGGCAGUUGUUAUCUUAUAAUUCGUUUCUGUGUUUGUUGCCCGUCUUUAGUUUUGUUGCAUUUCAAUGAUUCUGAUGUUUCGUUGUUUUCCUCUUAUAGGUGAUGUGUUUCCCUUGGUUUUAGUUUGUAAACCGG
rnacentral:lncRNA from 1 species